GAUGAAGAACGCAGCGAAAUGCGAUAAGUAAUGUGAAUUGCAGAAUUCAGUGAAUCAUCGAAUCUUUGAACGCACUUUGCGCCCGCCAGUAUUCUGGCGAGCAUGCCUGUUCGAGCGUCAUUUCAACCAUCAAGCCCCAGGCUUGUGUUGGAGCCCUGCGGCUGCCGCAGCCUCCCAAAACCAGUGGCGGGCUCGCUAUCACACCGAGUGCAGUAGUUUACUCUUCGCUCAGGGCGUGUGGCGGGUGCUAGCCGUGAAACCCCCAACUUCUCAAGGUUGACCUCGGAUCAGGUAGGAAUACCCGCUGAACUUAAGCAUAUCAAUAAGCGGAGGA
rnacentral:misc_RNA from 1 species